CGCGUAGGCGGCCAGCACAAGUCAGUUGUGAAAUCUCCGAGCUUAACUCGGAAAGGUCAACUGAUACUGUGCGGCUAGAGUGCGGAAGGGGCAACUGGAAUUCUUGGUGUAGCGGUGAAAUGCGUAGAUAUCAAGAGGAACACCUGCGGCGAAGGCGGGUUGCUGGGCCGACACUGACGCUGAGGCGCAAAGCCAGGGAGCGAACG
rnacentral:rRNA from 1 species